GGUCGGUACAAAGGGUUGCUACACAGCGAUGUGAUGCUAAUCUCAAAAAGCCGAUCGUAGUCCGGAUUGGAGUCUGCAACUCGACUCCAUGAAGUCGGAAUCGCUAGUAAUCGCGGAUCAGAAUGCCGCGGUGAAUACGUUCCCGGGCCUUGUACACACCGCCCGUCACACCAUGGGAGUUUGUUGCACCAGAAGUAGCUAGCCUAACUGCAAAGAGGGCGGUUACCACGGUGUGGCCGAUGACUGGGGUGAAGUCGUAACAAGGUAGCCGUAGGGGAACCUGCGGCUGGAUCACCUCCUUA
rnacentral:rRNA from 1 species